UUGGAUGAUUGAUUUCGUUUCUUGAAUUCAUGUUGAAUUUCUGAAUCAAAAUUGUAACAAAAUCACAUUUUUUGAUUUUGCGGGAUUGAGAUAUAUUAGUGUUUGGUGAGAUAUGAGUGAUUUGCACAAGGUUGAAGAUGAACAUAAACGGUAAUAUGAGUACUAAGCUUCUAGUGUUCGAUGGUAAGAACUGGAAUUAUUGGAUGAUUCAAAUGCAUGUGUUG
rnacentral:lncRNA from 1 species